rnacentral:rRNA from 1 species
UACAGAGGGUGCGAGCGUUAAUCGGAAUUACUGGGCGUAAAGCGUGCGUAGACGGUUAUUUAAGUCGGGUGUGAAAGCCCCGGGCUCAACCUGGGAAUUGCAUUCGAGACUGAAUAGCUAGGGUACGGUAGAGGGAAGUGGAAUUUCCGGUGUAGCGGUGAAAUGCGUAGAUAUCGGGAGGAACACCUGUGGCGAAAGCGGCUCACUGGACAGUAACUGACGCUGAUGCACGAAAGCUAGGGGAGCAAACAGG